ensembl:lncRNA
AAUAGGGUACCAUUUGAGACGCAUUGACAUAAUAUAGGUUGAGGAAAACAUAUGUCACCUAAAUGAAUAGGCCUGGACUGUAGAGCGUGGACUGAAAACCGAGGCUUCAUCCAAAAUGGCACCAAAAUGGGUGCCAUUUUGGACUCACCCUGAGCGUACUGCGGUAGUAAGAGGAUGCUACAACAGAAGCAGUGGAAGCUUACAUGGCAUAUGUAUACUGCGAGGCCUCUAUCCACGGAGCACAGAACAACAACAUUGACAAGUCACUUAUAAAGGGCCAGACAGGACAGGUGCCUUGGCUUUAGGCAAAUCCAACCCUGUUUCAGUCCCAUUUUCACAAUGAUAUCUUAAACCAUGGAUUCCAUAGUUUCCGGCUGAUGAUGUAUACAGGAAGUGUAGGUCCUCCACGUCCUGUAAGCUUUGAGCAAAGGAUCAUGGGUCGCAGUGGAUGACUAACAGGUUUAAAGCAGAAACAAAGAACAAAACAAUGACAAAAAAAAACAACAACAAAAAAAGUAAAAAUGUAUCAGGAAGCAAUCUGUUGUGGGCUGUUCAUUAAGCUGCGUUAUUUGUUUGUCAAUAAACAGCCCAUCCCACAGAAAGAACAUCAACCAACAGCUGCCUUUCGUUUUUAUGUACACAUUUUCUGUUUGUUGUUUUCUUAUAAAAUCCACUGCUGCCCUAAACGUCUCCUCCCUCCUUACAGACAUGGGUCCUGCAAUGCAGUCAACUAACCCUUUCAGUGAUCGGCGUCCGAGACUCGACCGUCUCCUCCUGGCUAGGUCUGGGUACGACUGAGACCAUCUCCUCCCUGCUAGGUCUGGGUACGACUGAGACCGUCUCCUCCCUGCUAGGUCUGGGUACGACUGAGACCGUCUCCUCCCUGCUAGGUCUGGGUACGACUGAGACCGUCUCCUCCCUGCUAGGUCUGGGUACAACUGAGACCGUCUCUUCCCUGCUAGGUCUGGGUACGACUGAGACCAUCUCCUCCCUGCUAGGUCUGGGUACGACUGAGACCGUCUCCUCCCUGCUAGGUCUGGGUACGACUGAGACCGUCUCCUCCCUGCUAGGUCUGGGUACGACUGAGACCGUCUCCUCCCUGCUAGGUCUGGGUACGACUGAGACCAUCUCCUCCCUGCUAGGUCUGGGGACGACUAAGCAGGAUACAAUGUCUCUCAAAUCCCUCCCUUCCACCGUCCCUGCUGCCACGUCCACUUGAUGCUUGUUGGCACUGGUGUCACC